rnacentral:lncRNA from 1 species
AAAGAAAGAGAGAGAGAGAAGAGAGAGAGAGAGAGAGAGAGAGGAAGAGGAAAGUUAUACAUAUACAUGUUUGUUAUUUAAAAGUAGAGAUGGGAGCUGAGCACAAUGGCUCUUGCCUCUAAUCCCAGCACGUCAGUAACUGAGGCAGGAGGAUCACUGGAGCUCAGGAGUUCAAGACCCGUCUUUAUGUAAAAACAAAACCAAACACAUGGACAGGUGCGGUGGCUCACGCCUGUAAUCCCAGCACUUUGGGAGGCCGAGGCAAGCGGAUCACCUGAGAUCAGGAAUUUAAGACGAGUCUGGUCAACAUGACGAAACCCCGACUCUACAAAAAUAUAAAAAUUAGCUGGGCACAGUGGUGCACGUCCGUAAUCCCAGCUACUUGGGAGGCUGAUGCAUGAGUCUGCUCUGUCAUCCAGGCUGGAGUGUAGUGGCAUGAUCUCGGCUCACUGCAACCUCCGUCUCCUAGGCUCAAGAGAUUCUCCUGACUCAGCCUCCCAAGUAGCUGGGAUUACAGGUGUGCAACACCACGCCCAGCUAAUUUUUGUAUUUUUAGUAGAGACAGGGUUUCGCCAUGUUGGCCAGGCCAGUCUUUAACUCCUGACCUCAGGUGAUCUGUCCGCCUUGGUCUCCCAAAGUGCUGAGAUUACAGGUGUGAGCCACCACGCCCAGCCCAUGCUGGGCACUUUGUUAGGCCCCAAGGUGGUGGGCAGUGAUGGGUAAGACUUAUGAAUGGCGUAAGCCACCAUACCCAGCCCCUAAACCCGCACUUUGCUAACUGUUUGCUUCGUGAUGUUCAGGCUAGUUGCCUAAACUCUCGGAGCCUGAGAGUGAACCACACCUAUCACAAAGGGAAAGAGCCUUGGACUCCAUUGGGUGGUGAUGAGUAAAAGCUGCUGCAAA